AUUGAACGCUGGCGGAAUGCUUUACACAUGCAAGUCGAACGGCAGCACGGACUUCGGUCUGGUGGCGAGUGGCGAACGGGUGAGUAAUGUAUCGGAACGUGCCCAGUCGUGGGGGAUAACGUAGUGAAAAUUACGCUAAUACCGCAUACGAUCUAUGGAUGAAAGCGGGGGAUCGCAAGACCUCGCGCGAUUGGAGCGGCCGAUAUCAGAUUAGGUAGUUGGUGGGGUAAAGGCCCACCAAGCCAACGAUCUGUAGCUGAUCUGAGAGGACGACCAGCCACACUGGAACGGAGACACGGUCCAGACUCCUACGGGAGGCAGCAGUGGGGAAUUUUGGACAAUGGGCGAAAGCCUGAUCCAGCCAUGCCGCGUGCAGGAUGAAGGGCCUCGGGUUGUAAACUGCUUUUGUACAGAACGAAAAGGUUUCUACUAAUACUAGGAGCUCAUGACGGUACUGUAAGAAUAAGCACCGGCUAACUACGUGCCAGCCGCCGCGGUAA
rnacentral:rRNA from 1 species